rnacentral:rRNA from 1 species
CGUGUAGGCGGCUAGACAAGUCAGAUGUGAAAUCCCUGGGCUUAACCCAGGACGUGCAUUUGAAACUGUUUGGCUUGAGUAAGGAAGAGGGAAGUGGAAUUCCUGGUGUAGAGGUGAAAUUCGUAGAUAUCAGGAGGAACACCGGUGGCGAAGGCGACUUCCUGGUCCUAUACUGACGCUGAGACGCGAGAGCGUGGGGAGCAAACA